AUGAACGAGCGCCGGGGAGCGGCUCCGCAGGCAGCUGUCACCGCUGCGGACUCAAGACAACCGCCUUCCACCGUCGGUCAGGCGGCAGCGGCACGCGGGGAGCGAGGCCCGGCCGCCCGCACGCCCCGGCCGAGGCCCCGAGCCGCAGCACGCCUCCAUUCAUUCUCCCGCGCGCCCCCCGCCCCGCGCCCCCCGCCCCGCGCCCCGCCGCCGGCCCCCGCCCCCCCCGCCCGCGCCCCCGCCCCCGCCCCCGCCGGAGCCUGUCACCCGCCGACCCACCGACGGAGGCCGGGGCCGGGGCCGGCGAGGGGGCCCACCGCACCGCUGCCCUCGGCGCCGCGCCGGGAGCGCCACCAUCCCCUCGGCCGCCGAGGACGGGCGACGCGCCGGUCCCGCCCGCCUCUCCUCCCCGGGGACUCGCCGGCUCCGCGGGGCCCCGCCACAGGGAGGGGAAAGCUCUCCGAACACCCCUUCCCGGGCUUCCCUCUCCGGCCGGCGAGCCCCUCGCCCCGGCCCCUCGGGGCCUCCCGGGCCGGGGCCACGGCGCCAGGGCCGCCCCGAGAAGCCCCCAGGAAAAGGAGGGGGCGACACCCCCAUACUCACCCACCGUCUCCUCCCCCUCGGCUGUUUACCUCACAGCUCCUCCAGCCUACAGGGCGCCGCCAUCUUGGACGCACAGCACCUCCCCCCGGCGUGAAGUGGCCGCGGCCGCUGCGGCCUCCGCCGCGAAAAAGAGUGCCCGGCCGGGCCUCGCCGCCCCCGCGACCCCGGCGGCAGAUGACCGCGGCCGGCAGCCCCGCCGGGCGCACGAGGCCGUCCCGUUCAUUCCUGACGAUGCCAGCCGGUCGACAAGGGGCCCAGGAGACUUUGAAGGGAAGGGGGCGGGGACUGGCGGAAGGAUCCCGAAAGGAGGUCGCUGAGCGAUCUUGUGACUCCGAAGGAGGCGAAAAGAAGGGCCGGCGCGGCGGGAGGAGCCACGCGAGGGGGCGAGGGGCGGGGCGGAGGUCACGUGCCCGGCCGGGCGGGAGGGGCCGAGCCGGAGGCGUAAACAAGGUGGCGGGGCUGGGUGUGGCUGCGGGGCCUGGGGCCUUCCCUCGGGCCGCCCCCGCCCCUUCGGACCCGGGCCCCCACAGCAUCGUAGGUCCCGCUGACCUCCAGGCUGGCCUCGCAGCAGAGAAGCCUCCCCACAAACCGCCUUUCUCCUCAUGUUGGGGCUCCAGACCUGCAGUUUAA
rnacentral:lncRNA from 1 species